rnacentral:rRNA from 1 species
UACGUAGGGGGCAAGCGUUGUCCGGAAUCAUUGGGCGUAAAGAGCGUGUAGGCGGCCCGGUAAGUCCGCUGUGAAAGUCCAGGGCUCAACCCUGGGAUGCCGGUGGAUACUGUCGGGCUCGAGUCCGGAAGAGGAGUGUGGAAUUCCUGGUGUAGCGGUGAAAUGCGCAGAUAUCAGGAGGAACACCAAUGGCGAAGGCAGCACCUCUGGGACGUGACUGACGGCUGAGACGCGAAAGCGUGGGAGC